CCUACGGGAGGCAGCAGUGAGGAAUAUUGGUCAAUGGGCGCGAGCCUGAACCAGCCAAGUCGCGUGAGGGAUGACGGCCCUACGGGUUGUAAACCUCUUUUGCCGGGGAGCAACGGGCGCCACGUGUGGCGCCACUGAGAGUACCCGGAGAAAAAGCAUCGGCUAACUCCGUGCCAGCAGCCGCGGUAAUACGGGGGAUGCGAGCGUUAUCGGGAUUUAUUGGGUUUAAAGGGUGCGUGGGCGGUUAGUGAAGUCAGGGGUCAAAUUGGGGGGCUAAACCCCGUACCGCCAUUGAAACUGGCGCUCUUGAGUGGAAGAGAGGUAUGCGGAAUGCGUGGUGUAGCGGUGAAAUGCAUAGAUAUCACGCAGAACCCCGAUUGCGAAGGCAGCAUGCCGGCUUCCGACUGACGCUGAAGCACGAAAGCGUGGGGAUCGAACAGGAUUAGAUACCCUGGUAGUC
rnacentral:rRNA from 1 species